UACGUAGGGGGCGAGCGUUGUCCGGAAUUACUGGGCGUAAAGGGCGCGCAGGCGGCCGUGUAAGUCCGCUGUGAAAGACCGGGGCUCAACCCCGGGGUGUCAGCGGGGACUGCAGGGCUGGAGUCUCGGAGAGGGGUGCGGAAUACCUGGUGUAGCGGUGGAAUGCGUAGAGAUCAGGUGGAACACCGAUGGCGAAGGCAGCUCGCUGGGACGUUACUGACACUGAGGCGCGAAAGCGUGGGGAGCGAACAGG
rnacentral:rRNA from 1 species